CACUCAGUUCAAAAGAUGGUGUUUUCCCUUUUUAUCCCCUACUGAGGAUCACCCCGGCCAGGGUGAUGUCCCUUAACUUUAACACCUUAUAAGCUCCUAAUUAAUAGUUGCUAAUACAAAGAUGUUUCUGCUAGUCGGAGUUCAGCUUAUUGUUAUUUGCAGUUUGUUUAAACUAUGGAAGAAGGAUUGGGAAACUAACAGACAUGACUUUUGUACAGUUGAUCUCUUCAUGCACUUAAAAUCUCUACCACUGAUUCUUAAUCUCAAGAUAAAGCAAAACAUGAAUCAUUGUACUUUUGUAAUUACAGGUAGAAUUGUAAUGUACAGAUAUCAUAACAUUGCUUACACCAGGUGUGCAGUAUAAUUACAGGUAGAAUUGUAAUGUACAGAUAUCAUAACAUUGCUUACACCAGGUGUGCAGUAUAAUUACAGGUAGAAUUGUAAUGUACAGAUAUCAUAACAUUGCUUACACCAGGUGUGCAGUAUAAUUACAGGUAGAAUUGUAAUGUACAGAUAUCAUAACAUUGCUUACACCAGGUGUGCAGUAUAAUUACAGGUAGAAUUGUAAUGUACAGAUAUCAUAACAUUGCUUACACCAGGUGUGCAGUAUAAUUACAGGUAGAAUUGUAAUGUACAGAUAUCAUAACAUUGCUUACACCAGGUGUGCAGUAUAAUUACAGGUAGAAUUGUAAUGUACAGAUAUCAUAACAUUGCUUACACCAGGUGUGCAGUAUAAUUACAGGUAGAAUUGUAAUGUACAGAUAUCAUAACAUUGCUUACACCAGGUGUGCAGUAUAAUUACAGGUAGAAUUGUAAUGUACAGAUAUCAUAACAUUGCUUACACCAGGUGUGCAGUAUAAUUACAGGUAGAAUUGUAAUGUACAGACAUCAUAACAUUGCUUACACCAGGUGUGCAGUAUAAUUACAGGUAGAAUUGUAAUGUACAGAUAUCAUAACAUUGCUUACACCAGGUGUGCAGUAUAAUUACAGGUAGAAUUGUAAUGUACAGAUAUCAUAACAUUGCUUACACCAGGUGUGCAGUAUAAUUACAGGUAGAAUUGUAAUGUACAGAUAUCAUAACAUUGCUUACACCAGGUGUGCAGUAUAAUUACAGGUAGAAUUGUAAUGUACAGAUAUCAUAACAUUGCUUACACCAGGUGUGCAGUUAUUUCGACUGUCGCUGAACACUUAACCAGGUGAGACCCUCCAUCAAUGAGGAGAGGCUUAAAGCUGCUGUUUGUUUGAAUGGAGGUUUUUGUUUUAGUGCAGUAAACACUCUGCUUUAGGUGUUUCAGUUAAAUGUUGAUAUUUAGAGGUCCAGACAUGUGUUGGCAUCAAUUUUGAUUAUUUGAAACAUUCUGAAAAAUCUCCACAUUUUUACAUGGCUGAACUUUUUUACAAGUGUUUACAGGUGUAGAUGAACUCAGUGUAGCUAUGCUUGUAGUUCUACCAACAAUAACUGAAGCUCUUUAGUACAGGUUACCCUGUAUUUUCUUAAGUUAUAAAAUAUAUAUUUUUUAUCGUCGUUUUAUCGACAUAAAUUACUUACAUUUUAUUAUCAAUGCAAUUUCAAUUCAUUAUUUAUAUUGUGUUAUAUCUGUUUAUCUAUUGGUUAGAUAUGACAUUUAUGAGUUUUACUUCCAAUCAAUUUCAUUUUCCAAUCACAAAAGUUAUAUCAGGGAACACUAAAGUGCACUUACCGUAGAAGUGUGUUAAAAAUAUCAUAAAAAUAUACAUGUUUUUUUAUUUUUAAAAAGUGCAUGGGAGAAUUAACUGAAAUUAUUGUU